UAAACAAUGUUUUAACAUUGUUUAGCUGAAUCACAGAAAAAAUCACAGUUUUCACAGAAUCAGCACAGUUUUCGUGUAAAUUACAAUUGUGGAGAACGAAUUCCCAAAUAAAGUGUUAUAGUAGAUAAGAAAAUUGUUUUCUGGCAGCCAUGCUACAAAAAGAUAGAGUGCACUCAACUAUUCCAGUUAGAACAGCAUACUGCAAAAAAUUCAUAAAUAAAUAUAUAUAAAUAUUUAUAUAUUUAAUGCAAUAAGAAUAGUCAAUAUCGUUUGACCAACUUAUGCACCAAAUGAACAAAAGAAAAAUGACGAAAUUUACUUUAGGAUUGUACUGCGUUUUUAGCAGCUAAUAUCCUGUAGAAAAAGUUAUAAGUGCCAGAAUUUAAACAGUUCCUGGAAAAGUGGUGUAACUGUUCUAUACCAGAUGAGUCUACAUUUCAAGGAAAUUACUUGUAAUACUGCUAUGAAAAGGUAAUAUCAGACAUCAAGAAUGAUUGUGAAAUUUCAGAUAUUUGAUAAAGCGUCGAUGAAAGCACGGAAAAAUGGGGACUUACAUGUCAAACUUAGUGGAAAAAUUGUCUACUUUUACAGCGUGUAAGCCACGCUUCAUCGCAUGCGGUGAGCUUGAGAAGACAAAUCAUGCAACUAUUACAUAUUUUGUAAAUGCUCUUUUGCAUAUAUUGUGGACAAAUAGCAUGAAGGAAGAGAAACUAUUAAUUUUAGUGAUAUCCUCCUUAUAUACUAAAAGCUAGAGCUCUGGGUUCUUUGUCCAAACAUGAUUAAUACCACAUGCCUGGCACAUGGAUUCCACCGAGAUGCAGCAGUUUGAAGUCGAUUAAUUGCCGCUAUGUAAAAAGUGUUCUGUGAGAUACCAUACAGAGUACGAAUCUACAGAGUCUAAUCCCUAUCUUUAUCCGAUUAUAACCUGAUGGUAAACCUAGAUAAAUGAAGGUGUUUUCUUUCAUAAAAUUUUUUUUAAUUGCAAAACAGUGAUCGACACGUUUUCAAGUGAAGACGCAUGUAGCAUUGCAAAAGCCCAAGAGAUGUUUGAAUCGAUAUCCCUUAAGAAAGACAGCUUUCAUACAAGAUCACUCUCACUGUAGUUGCGGGACGAUAACAAAGUUGAAAAUCCAGGGAUUGGAACUUUCUGAAUUUGCAAAUUCUUGCUGAUUUUACUACUUCAAUUGAGUCUCUUCUAGGGGAAAUAGGAAGUCGAACGGAACUUGGAACUAUCUGCUGUUGCAAACUUCAAGUUCUGUCACUGGCCUCUUCAGACGUUGCGAAAUCCUUUUCUGUAUAGAAAAGUAUCCUGACCAACUAAAAUCCAAUUUUAAUACACAAAAAUCUAGAGAAGAACAUUCUUAUCAAUUGCUCAUAAACAUCGCCACAUAAUACGUCCCAGUAAUCGGAAAAUUAAGAUUGUCUUAUGUAAAUUUAAUAAUGUUUUUUACUUAUAUAAAAAGUGCAUACAAAUAAAUAAGUACAGUAUAUUUAUUUAUCACUGUCGUACGUUCUUAUUUACAUAUUUUAGCUAUUUAAGCAAUAUGUUACAGUUAUUCCUUGCAUAACAAAAGAUUUGAUUAACGGGCGAAAUUAAUUCCGGUAUUCCCUUUAUAUGUGCGGAAGAAGUUUUAAUAAAUUAGCCGCGUUAGUCAAGUGAUACUGUAUAAACAUAUUUGAAUGGCUUUUAACAUAUAUAUCCGUCCCCUAUUCAUAACCUAAACCGAACAUAAAAAUCAAACUUCUCAAUUAAAUAAAAUUUAUUUAUUUAUAACAGUUUUGUUUUGUAUUAAGAUCGGUUAGAUUAAAUUUUAAUUUAUAUAAUUUUACAUUUAAAAACUUUCACCUACAGUACGAUAUCUUCAAAAUUCCUGGCAUUCAAGGUGAAUAUCAUCACUAAAUAAGAUGCUAUAUUUCUUUGUACUAAUUAUCCAAUAGUAAUUAAUGUUUCAUUUUUACA
rnacentral:lncRNA from 1 species